GUGCUCGCUUCAGCAACACAUAUACUAAAACUGGAGUGAUACAGGAACAGGAUUAGUAUGGCCCCUGUGCAAGGACGACACGCGAAUUCAUGAAGCGUUCCAUAUUUUU